rnacentral:rRNA from 1 species
GACGAACGCUGGCGGCGCGCCUAACACAUGCAAGUCGAACGGAGCUUAAAGAGCUUGCUUUUUAAGCUUAGUGGCGAACGGGUGAGUAACGCGUGAGUAACCUGCCCUGGAGUGGGGGACAACAGUUGGAAACGACUGCUAAUACCGCAUAAGCCCACGGAUUCGCAUGGAUCUGCGGGAAAAGGAUUUAUUCGCUUCAGGAUGGACUCGCGUCCAAUUAGCUAGUUGGUGAGGUAACGGCCCACCAAGGCGACGAUUGGUAGCCGGACUGAGAGGUUGAACGGCCACAUUGGGACUGAGACACGGCCCAGACUCCUACGGGAGGCAGCAGUGGGGGAUAUUGCACAAUGGGGGAAACCCUGAUGCAGCGACGCCGCGUGGAGGAAGAAGGUUUUCGGAUUGUAAACUCCUGUCGUUAGGGACGAUAAUGACGGUACCUAACAAGAAAGCACCGGCUAACUACGUGCCAGCAGCCGCGGUAAAACGUAGGGUGCAAGCGUUGUCCGGAAUUACUGGGUGUAAAGGGAGCGCAGGCGGACCGGCAAGUUGGAAGUGAAAACUAUGGGCUCAACCUAUAAAUUGCUUUCAAAACUGCUGGCCUUGAGUAGUGCAGAGGUAGGUGGAAUUCCCGGUGUAGCGGUGGAAUGCGUAGAUAUCGGGAGGAACACCAGUGGCGAAGGCGACCUACUGGGCACCAACUGACGCUGAGGCUCGAAAGCAUGGGUAGCAAACAGGAUUAGAUACCCUGUAGUCCAUGCCGUAAACGAUGAUUAUUAGGUGUUGGAGGAUUGACCCCUUCAGUGCCGCAGUUAACACAAUAAGUAAUCCACCUGGGGAGUACGACCGCAAGGUUGAAACUCAAAGGAAUUGACGGGGGCCCGCACAAGCAGUGGAGUAUGUGGUUUAAUUCGAAGCAACGCGAAGAACCUUAUCAGGUCUCGACAUUCGAUGCAUAGUGCAGAGAUGCACGAAGUCCUUCGGGACAUCGAGACAGGUGGUGCAUGGUUGUCGUCAGCUCGUGUCGUGAGAUGUUGGGUUAAGUCCCGCAACGAGCGCAACCCUUAUUGCCAGUUAUUAUGCAAGAGGACUCUGGCGAGACUGCCGUUGACAAAACGGAGGAAGGUGGGGAUGACGUCAAAUCAUCAUGCCCUUUAUGACCUGGGCUACACACGUACUACAAUGGCGUUUAACAAAGAGAAGCAAGACCGCGAGGUGGAGCAAAACUCAAAAACAACGUCUCAGUUCAGAUUGCAGGCUGCAACUCGCCUGCAUGAAGUCGGAAUUGCUAGUAAUCGCGGAUCAGCAUGCCGCGGUGAAUACGUUCCCGGGCCUUGCAC